AGAGGACCAUCCUAAAGGGAUGGUCCUAAAGCUCUAGUGAGCUUUUCAAAUUCUUUUCAAAUUCAAACCAUAUUGAAAGAGGCAAAAACUUUUGUCUUUCUAAUAUGGCUUAUCCGUCUGCCUAUGACUGCCCUGAACAUGCUUCCUUUAUUUUAAACUAAACCACAGUCAUGGUAACCUGACCAAAAUUAAUCAUCUUCCAAAUUCGUGAAGAACUCCAAGUUAAGCAAGUGUAGAAGAAACAUGACAAGCUGUGCUUUAUUUUGACAACUUCCGCUUCAGGUUGGUAGGGAGCACACACACUAACAAGUGUACCUAUCAAAUCACAAAGCUUUAACAAAAAGAAAGCAAGAAGUAUUUUGCCAGGGAAAAAAAUGAAGGCUUUCUCUCCAGAUAAAAUAAGCAGAUCAGCAAAUAAUGUAAGCAAAACGUCAAGAAUUGCUGGAAUAACAGAGAACAAUAGCUCAACAUCUUUUUUGUGGUCAAGCUUCACUUGAGAAGCCUGGCAGCGCUCCAUGCCUUGCCAAGGCCCUCACUGGGAGGGGACCCAGCUCAUCACACCCCAGCAGCAGGACCUGCCCCCAGGACUGGACAUGGGAACACGUCACCUCCAGCUCCCCCAACCCAAGCACCUCCUGAAGGGUUGUGACAGCACAGCAGCUCCUGGCAGAGGUUUGAAAGGCUGCCCUGACACCUCACCACCACGUGAGCCGGGGUGCCUGGAGGGACAAAGAAAGGCAGCGGAACACAGCGGCCCUUCCGCAGGCUCCAUCCCGCUGACAGACGGGCUGUGCUCAGGCAAUCGGGCAUUUUGGGAAGCUGCUCCCCACCACCCCUGUGUCGGAUGGCAACUGUGGGAUCCAACCGACAACGAUGAGGAGGAAACACCCAUCUCUCUCUCACCCGGUGGGGUACAAACGGCCCUUCAGAGCCUCCUUUGGAGCACAGCACCCCCGGCGUGGUCUCGGUUUUCUGGAAAGCAGCAGACACCAGCCAGGUUGUGGUAG
rnacentral:lncRNA from 1 species